rnacentral:piRNA from 1 species
UGGCUGGUGAGAUCCUGUACACCCCUAUU